rnacentral:lncRNA from 1 species
UGAUGAAGCUAGCUUUCACUAGCUGUUUUUGGUGUGCCUAUAUAUCAACAUAAGUAAGCAAAUAAAAUGUCAAGGACCAUGUGAAGCAUGAUUCACAUGUUUAUAAAUAGUAAGAGAACCUAUAAAAAAUCAAAUACAAAUAAUUGGAAGUCCUUUCAAAUAGAAGUUAAAGUCUAUCAAGAAAGGAUAGAAUUAAAUUCCUUAUCAAAUGAAAUCAAAACAAAUAAAAUCUCACCUGUUAAAACUUUCAAGCUCGUAUAAAAAUAUUAUAUCCCUCCAGAAUAAGUUCAAGAUCAAGAAUAGAAGGUUAUAAUAUUCAGAUAUGACUCUUAAUUAGGGAAUUUAUACACCUAAAACAUAUACAAAGACUUUGAAUAUUAGUUAGAGUUCUUAAUAAUCACAAUACUAGGUGUUGAAGUUAAAUCUUUUAAAUUAUAAAAAAAAUAAAAAUACUUUGUUAUUUUCAGACACCUAAAAUCCCAAUCUAGAACGAAAAUAACGAUACAACAUACAUGCAACACGGCCUCUUAGUUUCUCUUUCUAUGGAAGUUUAUAUUUGGUAAAAUAGUGUAUAAUAUUUUUUAAUUGAAAAUGUAUUAAAAUAAUAUAAUUUUUUAGAUUUUUUUAACAGCAAUAUAUUAAAAUUAUUAAAGAAAAAUUAAAAAAUUAUUAAUUUAAUACUUUUUUGAUAAAAAAUAAUUUUGAAAGCAGGUUUUUUCUAAAAAAAACACUCCCGAAGUUUUUUUUGCCUUAUGUAUCGAAAAACAAAUCUACUGAGUGUGUGAGGGCUAAAAAGAAGAGAGGGUCAGAAGAUAACUUAGUCAAAAUAAUGUCGGCAAAACGUGCAUGUCAUGUAGUCAUUUUCGGUGAUAGGUCAUUUUCACCAUUAUAUUUUUGUAGUCAUUGAAUAUUUAUGUUGAUAUUUAUAUUUAUAUAUUUAUAGUCACUGUCAUAUAUAUGCAGUUAUGUUCAUGACAGCUAGAUAUAUAUAUUUUAAAAAAAUUAUAUAUAUAUCUUCGUAUUGACAUAUAUGUUAUAUUGCCAUAUAUAAAAAAAAAUUGAUUUUUUAUAAGAAAAUUAUUAUUAUUAUUAUUAUUAUUAUUAGAUAAAAAACAUGAAUAAUGUGUGGACACAUUUUUUUAUGAUAAAAAUAUCCUUAAGUUUUAUUAAUCAUUAAUGUAUUGAAAGGAUUUUAUCCAGCGUUUUCAAAAAAAUAAAUUUUUAUUAUUAAAAAAUAAAUUUUUUAUAUAUUUUUGAUCGUUUUGAUGCGUUGAUUUCAAAAAUAAUUUUUUAAAAAAUUAUUUUGAUGCAUUUCGACACGAAAAAACUUUAAAAAACGACUACAAUUACACUCUCAAACAUGUUAUUUAAUCCCCAAUGCUUAUUUAGAUGAGAAAUUAUCAUUUUGAUGUAUUUUAGCACGAAAAACAUUUUAAAAAGAAACGACAAUCACAAUCUCAAACAAGUUAUUUAGACCUCAAUGCUUAUUUAGAUGAGAAAUUAUUGUUCUUUAGUCUCUAAAUAAUCUUAUCUAGGGUUAAUUAUAAAAAGCAAAAUUAUCAACAUACGAAUUAGGAUAUAAAAAAUGAUAAGUAAUUAGAUUGAAUUUAAGUUAGAAAUAAACGUCAACCUUGUAAUAAUAAUUUUAGGUAUUUUCAGUGUUUUUUUCAUCUCCAGCUCGAGUUUUCUUUUGCGAUCUGUUGUUUUCACAUUAUUGUCAUAUGCUUCAAUAAUCUUCGCCAGCUCAGAGAUAUAUUGGAAAACGAAUUUAACCUAUUAUUAUUAUUAUUAUUAUAUAAGAAACCUUCGAGGGAUUUUUUUUUCAAUGAUGAAGCUAGUUUUCACUAGCUGUUUUUGGUGUGUUAUAUAUCAAGAUAAGUAAGCAAAUAAAAUGUCAAGGACCAUGUGAAGAUCAACUCAUUAUUUUGAUUUAUAGGUGUAUAUAUAUAUUGAAAGCAAAACCUUUAUGAUCUCAAGUAAGCAAAUAAAAUUAAUUGGAAAUCAAAAACUUUAUGUUUGUAUGUAAUAAAAUAAAAUAAGAAUUAUAUGUAUUAAUAAAUAUUAAAUAAAUUGUUAACACUAACUAAAAAUUGAGUUGAGAAGUUAAGUUAUAUAUAUAUAUUGUAAAACUGGGUAUGGUUUAAAGUGUUUUUCAUUUAAAAAUACAUCAAAAUAAUUUAUUUAUUUAUUUUAAAACAUUACUUUUAAUAUCAGCACAUUAAAAUAAUCUGAAAACACUAAAAAUUUAAAACUUAAAAAAACACGGUUUAAACCGCAUUCCAAACAGGUCCUAAGUAUCUUGUCUACCCAAAAACAUAUGAAAAUGGCUAUAAAUAUAUAAAUGUGAACUUAAAAAUGAUUUCUAAGAGGUCAAGUAUAUUUAUACAUAAUAAUCCCUGUAAACUUAUUAAAUCUUCAUUUUAGCCCUUUAAUGUUGAAUCAUGGAUCCAUCUUUUUUUCUAUCAGCAGAUAGUCUUUAUAUAUAUAAAAAAAAACCACCGAUCAACCCACUGAGCAUGUGAAGUUACAAAUUUCAAAUGCAUGAAGGAAGACCCCAUAAUGAAAACGAUGUUUGUUUAUCUUAUAAAUAUAUUUGGAUGCAGCCUUAGCUGGUUCACACUCACCUGCAGACAAAAUUUCCAAGCGUCCUUUGAAGUUGAUGGAAAAAUUGAAUCAAUUGAUAGUGAGAGGGAAAGAUUGUGCAUUUCUUCGUUGUCGUUUAUUCCUUUACAAGACAGAUGCAUUAUUAAAAAAUUGCUUUGAAUCAUUUCCAUCAAUUGUCAAGUAUUUCAUAACAGUAAUUCGAUUCACUUGAAAAACUGGUUUUUCCUAUUCAAUUGCUUAAGCUCUAUUAAAAAACCGGACCGGAUCAUAUAUAAUAAUAUAUAUAUAUAUACUUUUUUUAUUUAGUUCUCCGACUCCGGAUGAGUUUGGGCGUCCGGCGCCUCUUUUGAGGACGGGAGGAAAAAAAACAUAUAUAUCUACACCUUGCACCCUUUUAGGAAAAGAUAAAUCUUUAAGGAAAUAAAUUUUUUUUAUAACAUGUUUAUUAUUUUUUAUUAAAACAAUGUAUAUUGAAGAUCAAAACAUAAUAUUUUUUAUAUAAAAUAACUUAAUAAUUUCAAGUUUAAUCUCUAAUUUAAUAACAAGUUCAGUGAUAUUAACUUUAAAAUUUAAAAUAUUACAUUUAUAGAAAAAUGCAUGCUAAACAUUUGAAAUAUAACCUAUUUAUAUUUAGUUUGAUCCAUGUGGGACCAUUAAGCCAUAUGAAGAGAGGGGUUUAGCCUAAUUUCUUAGGAGUUUUUAAUAUUUAAUUUGUUUUACAUGGAGAACAAAUAUAGAAAAAAAAAUAUUAGCUUCCCAAAAAUAGUAUUUGAUGAUCUAUCUAGUUUUGAUCAAAUGCUACUACAUGUGCUGUAUAGAUAUAAUUAUGGAUUAAUUGAGCUGAGAAUUUAUAGAUACAAUUGUGACAUAACAAGGAUCUAUAAUCUAAAAUAGUAAAGAUUAAAUUUAGAACAACCUAACUAGUGUUCUGUGCGCUAUUAAAACAUCAGGUUUUUUGAGUAUUCUGAAUUAGUUUGUGAUUUCUCCUAACAAAAAUGGAACUCUUUUAGUAGAUAACUAGAACACGUUCCUAUAUGAUAAACUUGAAUAUUAUAUGCUUGGAAAACUGCACAUAAUUAUAAAAUGUUUUUAAUAAAGCAUUUGAUGACUUUGAGAUGCCAAGAUGAAACUUAAUCAACAAAUCACUUAAACACGUUACAACUAGUUUUUUUUUUAAAAAAAAAAAAAAAAAAUAGUUGUUCCUUGUUUGGGUACAAUCUGAUUUUUUUUUUAAAAAUUUCUUUUGUAAUACUGUUGGUCAUUUUUAUUAGAUAUGUAGCUAGUUCUCCUAAAUAAAUUAGUAUGGGUAAUUAAAGUGACUGCAAAGGGUAUUGAUACCGAUAAUCACUUGUUCACCACCGCUAAUCAAGUCUUGCUCUCUAGCUAUCUUAAUACCCAUAUAAAUCUAAAGUCGAAGCUCUGAUCAUUUCACAGCAGGUUCAAUGAAAUUAACAACAAAAUUUAUUACAAAUGUUUAUAUAUGCUGGAUAACUAAAACAUAAUUAAGCAAACCAACUUUUUAAAAAAUAAAAAUAAAUGGAACCACCUAUUGUCUGCAGAGCUUAAACCAAAUCCAAAACUAAACAUUUCAAAGAGCAGAACAAGUUAGUGCUGACCUGAGGACGGAGAUCAGAGGACCGUGUCUGUAAAUAGAGUCCCUAGCCGCGAGCCUCUUCCUAUAUAUAUAUUGCAGCACCUCUCUCUCUCUCCCUCCCCCCCCUCUCUCUAAGUCUCUUGCCUUGUCUCUCUCCCUCUCUCUCUAUCUCUCUAAGUCUCUUGCCUUGUCUCUCUCCCUCUCUCUCUAUCUCUCUAAGUCUCUUGCCUUGUCUCUCUCCCUCUCUCUCUAUCUCUCUAAGUCUCUUGCCUUGUCUACCCAGAUGCACAAGACAAUGGCUAUAAUUAAGGGACUUAAUUAUAUAUGCUCUCUAGAUUCAAGCCUGGCAAGGGCGGAUCUAGGAAAGUCCCUUAACUUUAAAAUUAUUUCUAAAAGAUGAAGUAUAUUUGUACAUAAUAAUCCCUGUAGAAUAUUAAAUCUUCAUUUUAGCCCUUUAAUGUUGAAUCCUG